CACAGACGUCCCAAGCGUUGUUCGGAUGCAUUGGGCGUAAAGGGACCGUAGGCGGCGACGCAAGUCAGGUGUGAAAUCCCGGGGCUCAACCCCGGAACUGCACUUGAUCCUGCGUUGCUAGAGGGCGUAAGAGGAGAUCGGAAUUCACGGGGUAGCAGUGAAAUGCAUAGAUAUCGUGAUGAAGGCCAGUGGCGAAGGCGGAUCACUGGGAAUUUCCUGACGCUGAUGCACGAAGGCCAUGGGAGCAAACGGG
rnacentral:rRNA from 1 species